AACACCAAACUUUUUGUUCUUGGCAAAAAUGUCAAGAACAAUGAAGAACACUCAUGAAAAACUCAAAAAAAUUCCAUGAACAUUUUUCACGCAAAAACAUCCCAAAACCAUUCAAACUUAAGGGAAAUAACAUAUAACCAAACUAGGGUACAUAGGGGUUCCAAAAGUCACUUGAAAAACAUUUUUAACAAGACAAACAAGAACCCAAAAAUCCACCCUUUGGAUUUGGCCGAAAAUCCCCAAAAACAUGGCACACAAUUUUAGCUCCAAAAUUCAUGCUCAUAUGAACUACAUCUACAACAUUUGAGAUGGCAAAUUUUCUAACAAAAUUUACAUUCAAAAAAGCAAGAAUAAAGCUUGUAACAUAUUACAA
rnacentral:lncRNA from 1 species